rnacentral:rRNA from 1 species
CCGAUUAGGUAGUUGGUGGGGUAAAGGCCUACCAAGCCUGCGAUCGGUAGCUGGUCUGAGAGGACGAUCAGCCACACUGGGACUGAGACACGGCCCAGACUCCUACGGGAGGCAGCAGUGGGGAAUAUUGGACAAUGGGCGCAAGCCUGAUCCAGCAAUGCCGCGUGGGUGAAGAAGGUCUUCGGAUUGUAAAGCCCUUUCGGCGGGGACGAUGAUGACGGUACCCGCAGAAGAAGCCCCGGCUAACUUCGUGCCAGCAGCCGCGGUAAUACGAAGGGGGCUAGCGUUGCUCGGAAUUACUGGGCGUAAAGGGCGCGUAGGCGGCUCUGUUAGUCAGGCGUGAAACUCCUGGGCUCAACCUGGGGACUGCGCUUGAUACGGCGGGGCUUGAGGGCAGGAGAGGCUCGCGGAAUUCCCAGUGUA